GCAGUCGAGCGGAUUGAUGGGAGCUUGCUCCCUGAUAUCAGCGGCGGACGGGUGAGUAACACGUGGGUAACCUGCCUGUAAGACUGGGAUAACUCCGGGAAACCGGGGCUAAUACCGGAUAACUCAUUUCCUCGCAUGAGGAAAUGUUGAAAGGUGGCUUUUAGCUAUCACUUACAGAUGGACCCGCGGCGCAUUAGCUAGUUGGUGAGGUAAUGGCUCACCAAGGCGACGAUGCGUAGCCGACCUGAGAGGGUGAUCGGCCACACUGGGACUGAGACACGGCCCAGACUCCUACGGGAGGCAGCAGUAGGGAAUCUUCCGCAAUGGACGAAAGUCUGACGGAGCAACGCCGCGUGAGUGAUGAAGGUUUUCGGAUCGUAAAGCUCUGUUGUUAGGGAAGAACAAGUACCGUUCGAAUAGGGCGGUACCUUGACGGUACCUAACCAGAAAGCCACGGCUAACUACGUGCCAGCAGCCGCGGUAAUACGUAGGUGGCAAGCGUUGUCCGGAAUUAUUGGGCGUAAAGCGCGCGCAGGUGGUUUCUUAAGUCUGAUGUGAAAGCCCACGGCUCAACCGUGGAGGGUCAUUGGGAACUGGGGAACUUGAGUGC
rnacentral:rRNA from 1 species